UGACUGCGUACCUUUUGUAUAAUGGGUCAGCGACUUAUAUUCUGUAGCAAGGUUAACCGAAUAGGGGAGCCGGAGGGAAACCGAGUCUUAACCGGGCGUUAAGUUGCAGGGUAUAGACCCGAAACCCGGUGAUCUAGCCAUGGGCAGGUUGAAGGUUGGGUAACACUAACUGGAGGACCGAACCGACUAAUGUUGAAAAAUUAGCGGAUGACCUGUGGCUGGGGGUGAAAGGCCAAUCAAACCGGGAGAUAGCUGGUUCUCCCCGAAAGCUAUUUAGGUAGCGCCUCGUGAAUUCAUCUCCGGGGGUAGAGCACUGUUUCGGCUAGGGGGCCAUCCCGGCUUACCAACCCGAUGCAAACUGCGAAUACCGGAGAAUGUUAUCACGGGAGACACACGGCGGGUGCUAACGUCCGUCGUGAAGAGGGAAACAACCCAGACCGCCAGCUAAGGUCCCAAAGUCAUGGUUAAGUGGGAAACGAUGUGGGAAGGCCCAGACAGCCAGGAUGUUGGCUUAGAAGCAGCCAUCAUUUAAAGAAAGCGUAAUAGCUCACUGGUCGAGUCGGCCUGCGCGGAAGAUGUAACGGGGCUAAACCAUGCACCGAAGCUGCGGCAGCGACGCUGAUGCGUUGUUGGGUAGGGGAGCGUUCUGUAAGCCUGCGAAGGUGUGUCGUGAGGCAUGCUGGAGGUAUCAGAAGUGCGAAUGCUGACAUAAGUAACGAUAAAGCGGGUGAAAAGCCCGCUCGCCGGAAGACCAAGGGUUCCUGUCCAACGUUAAUCGGGGCAGGGUGAGUCGACCCCUAAGGCGAGGCCGAAAGGCGUAGUCGAUGGGAAACGGGUUAAUAUUCCCGUACUUGGUGUUACUGCGAAGGGGGGACGGAGAAGGCUAUGUUGGCCGGGCGACGGUUGUCCCGGUUUAAGCGUGUAGGUGUGUGUUCCAGGUAAAUCCGGUUCACUUUAACACUGAGGCGUGAUGACGAGGCACUACGGUGCUGAAGCAACAAAUGCCCUGCUUCCAGGAAAAGCCUCUAAGCAUCAGGUAACAUCAAAUCGUACCCCAAACCGACACAGGUGGUCAGGUAGAGAAUACCAAGGCGCUUGAGAGAACUCGGGUGAAGGAACUAGGCAAAAUGGUGCCGUAACUUCGGGAGAAGGCACGCUGACAUGUAGGUGAAGUGAUUUACUCAUGGAGCUGAAGUCAGUCGAAGAUACCAGCUGGCUGCAACUGUUUAUUAAAAACACAGCACUGUGCAAACACGAAAGUGGACGUAUACGGUGUGACGCCUGCCCGGUGCCGGAAGGUUAAUUGAUGGGGUCAGCGCAAGCGAAGCUCCUGAUCGAAGCCCCGGUAAACGGCGGCCGUAACUAUAACGGUCCUAAGGUAGCGAAAUUCCUUGUCGGGUAAGUUCCGACCUGCACGAAUGGCGUAAUGAUGGCCAGGCUGUCUCCACCCGAGACUCAGUGAAAUUGAACUCGCUGUGAAGAUGCAGUGUACCCGCGGCAAGACGGAAAGACCCCGUGAACCUUUACUAUAGCUUGACACUGAACAUUGAGCCUUGAUGUGUAGGAUAGGUGGGAGGCUUUGAAGUGUGGACGCCAGUCUGCAUGGAGCCGACCUUGAAAUACCACCCUUUAAUGUUUGAUGUUCUAACGUGGACCCGUAAUCCGGGUUGCGGACAGUGUCUGGUGGGUAGUUUGACUGGGGCGGUCUCCUCCUAAAGAGUAACGGAGGAGCACGAAGGUUGGCUAAUCCUGGUCGGACAUCAGGAGGUUAGUGCAAUGGCAUAAGCCAGCUUGACUGCGAGCGUGACGGCGCGAGCAGGUGCGAAAGCAGGUCAUAGUGAUCCGGUGGUUCUGAAUGGAAGGGCCAUCGCUCAACGGAUAAAAGGUACUCCGGGGAUAACAGGCUGAUACCGCCCAAGAGUUCAUAUCGACGGCGGUGUUUGGCACCUCGAUGUCGGCUCAUCACAUCCUGGGGCUGAAGUAGGUCCCAAGGGUAUGGCUGUUCGCCAUUUAAAGUGGUACGCGAGCUGGGUUUAGAACGUCGUGAGACAGUUCGGUCCCUAUCUGCCGUGGGCGCUGGAGAACUGAGGGGGGCUGCUCCUAGUACGAGAGGACCGGAGUGGACGCAUCACUGGUGUUCGGGUUGUCAUGCCAAUGGCACUGCCCGGUAGCUAAAUGCGGAAGAGAUAAGUGCUGAAAGCAUCUAAGCACGAAACUUGCCCCGAGAUGAGUUCU
rnacentral:rRNA from 1 species